AAAAAAUCGAUGAAGAAAAGAGUAGUUACAAAGGUCAGUAGAAGCGAGCCGGGAUGGUGAAAGCCGGUGCUGGACAUGUAAUGAACCGCAUUUCUGAGAUGUCAGUUUAAGCUGAUCGGAUCGCCUCCGUUAUAAGCGCCAAGCCGAUUCCGCAAGAAGCGGAAUAAUUAGAGUGGUACCGCGGAUGUAUAAACGUUCGUCUCUUAU
rnacentral:ncRNA from 1 species